UGUAAGCGUAUACCAAAGUUGUUGCAGUUAAAACGCUCGUAGUCGGAAUUUGGCAGUUCCGGAUGUGUGCACGUCGUGUGCGCACUUCGCGGGGAUUGCUUUUGUGGUCUUGCGUAGGAUGAGGCACUUUUAUUAGUGAACGUCCUCACGCAACCACUUUUUACUGUGAGAAAAUCAGAGUGCUCAAAGCAGGCAUUUGCCGUGAAUGUAUUAGCAUGGAAUAAUAGAAUAGGACUUGGUUCUAUUUUGUUGGUUUGUUGGGACUGAGUAAUGAUUAAGAGGGACAGUUGGGGGCAUUUGUAUUUCGGUGCUAGAGGUGAAAUUCUUAGAUUACCGAAAGACAAGCUGCUGCGAAAGCGUCUGCCAAGGAUGUUUUCAUUGA
rnacentral:rRNA from 1 species